CGGUGACGAUCUGCGGGCAGAUGAAGUGCACGUGGGUGUCGACCGCGCCGGCGGUGAGGAUCCGGCCGUUGCCGGCGAUCACCUCGGUGGCCGGGCCGAUGACCAGGUCGGGGUGCACGCCGGGCAUGGUGUCCGGGUUGCCGGCCCGUCCGAGGGCGACGAUCCGUCCGUCCCGCAGCCCCACGUCGGCCUUGACCACCCCCCAGUGGUCGAGCACCACGGCGCCGGUGAUGACGGUGUCGAGGGCUCCUUCGGCACGGGUGGCCCGCGACUGCCCCAUCGACUCG
rnacentral:sRNA from 1 species